GUUUUACUUCUAGUUGAUUGUGGUUAGAUUUUAUUGUCAUUGCAGAGUUUAUUAUUGGGCAUUCCUGCUUGGGUUCAUUGUGACUCUUUAGUCAUUUCUGUUUACUUCUUGUUAUUUUAUAAUCCAGAUAAUGUUAGUGUUAAGAGUUAUUUAAAGGUAUAUCCUUGUCUUUUUAUGUAUUUAAGACCAGCCUCCUCUAGUGUUUCCUCGUAUGCCAUUGUCAUAUCUAUUUAGUGGUUUGUUUACUUUCUGUUUUAUCUGAAAGUCCCUUGUGUGUGCUUACAUAGUCCUGCCCUGCCUGUCAGUCAUUGUUUCAGUAUCUGUUUGUGUGCUCUUGUGUUCUCCUCGUGAUCCUUUUUGGAAGUUUUCUUAUUUUUUAUUCUCAUUUCUACUAUUCGCUGCCCGGUGUUGUCGAUUACUCCUCGACCUUAAUAAAAGGAGAUAUCAAUUCUUCUAGUUGCACUUACAGCCCCGAUGGGAAAGAGGGAGCGUGAAGACACCCAGAUGUCCAAGAAGAUGCCAACUUCCCCAUUUGACUACAGCAGUUCAGAUGAUGCUUCCAAUCAGGUUCCAUCAAAUAGCCAGGACUAUUUCAACAACAGACCUUCAGAGACAACAAGUAACCCUUACAGGCUGUACCCCAACAGACCUCAACAGACAACAAGUAACCCUUACAGGCUGUACCCCAACAGACCUCAACAGACAACAAGUAACCCUUACAGGCUGUACCCCAACAGACCUCCACAGACAACAAGUAACGAGUACAGCCAGUUCAACAAUCAGCAGGUCCAGAGCAGCAGUGCCUCCACAGAUGAUCCGAAUCAUGUCCGGCUCAUAAACCACCUUCAGUUCAACAGCAGACCCCAACAAACAACAAGGCAAGAGGCGGAUGUGAUCCACCUGCAGCUGCUGUGCACAGCGAGCGGUUUGGAGAUUCAGGUAAACCAGUGGUUGGAGAGAGGUGGAAAACUGGAAGAAUCUGGAACUGGUUCUACAAAUAUUCACACAAAAGAUCAAACUCUGUAGUAGAUUUUUGUACUUGGGGAUUUCCUUGUUCGGCCAAGAAGAAGACUGCCAUGUUUGUGGUCUGCAACGGGAUUACAUUCAAGACAUCACUCAUGAUUUUGUCUAUUCUUUUUGGACAUGAAUGGACCUCCCUUACUAAAUGCACAUGAUGCACUUUGAGUAAUAUGAUAUAGGGGCUUCUCUGUGUUAUUUAUCUAUGACCUGAGUAAUGCAGUAAUAUUCCCUGAUCAGUUUAAAGUACAAUAAAAUGGUCUCACGUUUAAGCUCUCUGUUUGAUUUGGUUUUACUUUGCACAUGAUACAAAACACACAGAAAGUAAAUGAACACAAAACAAACGUGUGCCGAAUCAACUAAAUGACACAAUCUGAAAGAAAAAAAAGAUAAAAAACCUAUAAAGCAAAAUUAAACACUGACCAGUUUUAACGCUUUUUAUUUUCUGUACAUACAACAUUUUACAAAAGCACGAAAUCCAGAUUUUUAAUCACGACAUAAAAACAUAAAGAGGAUAAAAAAUGACAUGCAUCAUCUGUACGUUGCUGUAUUUGACACUCUUCUCCAUGCAGUUAAUUAAAACGUUAAAAUAAAUACACUAUUUUCUAUUUUAUCAGCAUUAACAAAAUGAAUCAAUUAACAGUAAAUUUGCACAAUGGAGUUGAGCAGUCAAUUAAUGUUUGACUUUCUGUCACACUUCAUCGAGGUAAUGGCCAUUGAUUGGUGGAGAAACAUCAGCGCUGCCAUGAAUUAUAAAAACAAUCUAAUACAUAACAGAAGAACAGAACAGGGAUGUAAAAUGCAUAAGAAUUUACUUUUCUCUUUGCUUUUUCUGAGUAAUAAAAAUAUAUCUCUACCAUUUACUGUUUAGGAAGCAUCUAAAUAAGAAGAGAAGCAGUUACCAAGAUAACAGGAUUUGAUCUUUAUCUAAUGCAGAUCACGUGACUUUUUUAAGACUACAGAGGAAAAUUAAAGAGAAGCGAGUCUAGUAUCGUUUAGUGCUUUUUAAAGCAUGUUUCAGUUUCUUAUGUAAAUAUGUAGUUUCAUUGAUUGAUCACAUCCUCUGUUUAUCAGCAG
rnacentral:lncRNA from 1 species